AUGGUAAUUGCAUUAGGUUAUAUUUUGUUACUCUUCAGACAGACGUUUAUUUUGUCAAACUUUUUUGCAUGUGAUCCUCUCGCGAGAUGCAUAAUCCACAUUUGCAAAUGUGUUGAGAUGCUCAGUCGAUAUGAGGAUGCUUCCGAAGCCCAAUAUCAUUUCAACAAGGUUAACAGCAAUAACUGGUGCAAGAAACAUAAGAUGGAACAUUCACUAUUAUUACUCGGGAAACAAACCUGUUGUUUCUGUCACUUUGAGGCUGGAAACUGGAGUUGUGAGCUGCAAAGUCGCUGCACUUGGCAGAUGCUGCUGCUGAUGACACCGUCUCCGAGGGCCUUCACCAACCCCAGACUCGUAGAGUGGAAGUCACCUGCAAGAUACCUGGGAGUCAGUUAUGUGCAAUUAAAAUGA
rnacentral:rRNA from 1 species